CGCGGCCUAUCAGCUUGUUGGUGGGGUAAUGGCCUACCAAGGCGACGACGGGUAGCCGGCCUGAGAGGGUGACCGGCCACACUGGGACUGAGAUACGGCCCAGACUCCUACGGGAGGCAGCAGUGGGGAAUAUUGCACAAUGGGCGCAAGCCUGAUGCAGCGACGCCGCGUGAGGGAUGACGGCCUUCGGGUUGUAAACCUCUUUCAGCACAGACGAAGCGCAAGUGACGGUAUGUGCAGAAGAAGGACCGGCCAACUACGUGCCAGCAGCCGCGGUAAUACGUAGGGUCCGAGCGUUGUCCGGAAUUACUGGGCGUAAAGAGCUCGUAGGUGGUUUGUCGCGUUGUUCGUGGAAACUCACAGCUUAACUGUGGGCGUGCGGGCGAUACGGGCAGACUUGAGUACUGCAGGGGAGACUGGAAUUCCUGGUGUAGCGGUGGAAUGCGCAGAUAUCAGGAGGAACACCGGUGGCGAAGGCGGGUCUCUGGGCAGUAACUGACGCUGAGGAGCGAAAGCGUGGGGAGCGAACAGGAUUAGAUACCCUGGUAGUCCACGCCGUAAACGGUGGGUACUAGGUGUGGGUUUCCUUCCUUGGGAUCCGUGCCGUAGCUAACGCAUUAAGUACCCCGCCUGGGGAGUACGG
rnacentral:rRNA from 1 species